GCGUGCGUACCCAAGGGGCAAGGGCAUCGGCCGCAAACCGGUGAUAGGGGGGUUCGAAUCCCCCCGCACGCUCCA
rnacentral:tRNA from 1 species